ensembl:lncRNA
GAGGAAAGAGAAAGGUUUGGGCCCAGUAGCUUAGGACAAAUUCACCAAGUUUUCAGUGGUUCUUCUGGUGGAAGUCAAAGGAUUGAUGCAGAAACCAGGAUUUUUCUUAGAAGUCAAACACAGACUCCAGGAAAAAAAAAAAAAGAAAGAAACCAGUUCUUGGAAUCCAGCCACCACGCUGAGAGGAAGCCUGAGCAGCCGUGUGGAGAGGAACUAAGGUCCCUGACUGAGAGCCCUGGGCAAGCUCCCAGCCUGAAGCCAGCGUUAGUUGACCAGCUGUUAGUGAGUCACCUGGGAAGUGAAUACCACCAGUCCACUGAUGCCGUGUGGAGCAUAGAGAUCUUAAAAUUGUAUUGAUCUCAAGCUCCUCAAAGCCUGGAUCUACCCCUGGUUUUUUGCACUUUCCAUUACUGGCUGGUGGGAGGUGACAUUUCCAGGUGACCCCUUGGCUGCAACCGCCUGCUCACCUCUCCACAUCCUGUUAGCCCUUGGUCAUCUUCCAAAACUCAACGGUGACAUCUUUUCUCCGGAAAGCAUACUCGAAAAUCCAAUGUGAAGUAAUCCUCUUUUAUGCUCCAUCACAUCCUGUGCAAACCUCUAUAUAUUGAAAUUUUAUUGACAGUUUUGUGUCUCUAUUUCACUAGGCUAUAAAGUUUUUUGAGAAAAGGACUAUUUUGUAUUCAUCUUAGUUCCCUCAACAUGAAGCCCAGUGCCUUCCAUUUGGUAAAUGAUUUAAAAUGCUCAUUAAAUUGUUUUUGGGUUAAACUGAUACACUUAACAGUUUUAUGUAAGAUUUCCUUUGGCUGAAAGUUUUAGGUAAUUGGCCAGGUUAUGGAAAAAACUGUGGAAGGAUUCUUAAUUUAGAUACUCUCUGUGUCACUUAUAGGUUGGAAGCAGGUUUUAGGAGCAAAUGGUGUGUUAAGGUCCAAAGGGACAGAUAGACCAAUGGUUCAGCUUAGUUUUUAGGAUACUGGCUAGAAGUUUCUGGGAACUGCUAGCAUUGCCAGAUUUAUAGGAUUGUUGUUAUCAUGUAGUAACAUGUACUAUGAAUGCAUUUUGAUAAUUAGAAAUAUAGAUACCUUUAUGUGUAAAUUAUCAGUAAUAAUUAAUGCUCAUCAGAUUAAGAAAUUCACUGCCUAUGAGGCCCUUCCAAUUCUAGACCUCACCCCUAUAAACAAAUUAGAAUAAAAUUUUUUUUAAC